rnacentral:rRNA from 1 species
GGAUUAGAUACCCUGGUAGUCCACGCCGUAAACGAUGUCAACUAGCCGUCGGGCAGUAUACUGUUCGGUGACACACCUAACGGAUUAAGCAUUCCGCCUGGGGAGUACGGCCGCAAGGUUAAAACUCAAAGAAAUUGACGGGGGCCCGCACAAGCGGUGGAGCAUGUGGUUUAAUUCGAAGCAACGCGCAGAACCUUACCAACCCUUGACAUCCUUGUCGCGGUUUCCAGAGAUGGAUUCCUUCAGUUCGGCUGGACAAGUGACAGGUGCUGCAUGGCUGUCGUCAGCUCGUGUUG